rnacentral:rRNA from 1 species
CUACGGGUGGCUGCAGUGGGGAAUAUUGCACAAUGGACGAAAGUCUGAUGCAGCAACGCCGCGUGGAGGAUGACACUUUUCGGAGCGUAAACUCCUUUUAUAUCCCAAGAUAAUGACGGUAGGAUAUGAAUAAGCACCGGCUAACUCCGUGCCAGCAGCCGCGGUAAUACGGGGGGUGCAAGCGUUACUCGGAAUCACUGGGCGUAAAGAGCGUGUAGGCGGGUUUGUAAGUUGGAAGUGAAAUCCUAUGGCUCAACCAUAGAACUGCUUCCAAAACUGCUUACCUAGAAUAUGGGAGAGGUAGAUGGAAUUUCUGGUGUAGGGGUAAAAUCCGUAGAGAUCAGAAGGAAUACCGAUUGCGAAGGCGAUCUACUGGAACAUUAUUGACGCUGAGACGCGAAAGCGUGGGGAGCAAACAGGAUUAGAUACCCGGGUAGUC